UACGUAGGGUGCGAGCGUUAAUCGGAAUUACUGGGCGUAAAGCGUGCGCAGGCGGCGCGUUAAGACAGGUGUGAAAGCCCCCGAGCUUAACUUGGGAAUUGCGCUUGUGACUGGCGUGCUGGAGUGUGGCAGAGGGAGGUGGAAUUCCACGUGUAGCAGUGAAAUGCGUAGAGAUGUGGAGGAACACCGAUGGCGAAGGCAGCCUCCUGGGCCAGCACUGACGCUCAUGCACGAAAGCGUGGGAGCAAACAGG
rnacentral:rRNA from 1 species